rnacentral:lncRNA from 1 species
UCAACGAAGAUAUGUUUUUCUUGUCAUUGUAACCCCCCUGCUGCAGCGCCUUCGGGCUAAGCGGGGUAAUAAUUGAAUAAAGAAUAAAGAAAAUAAAGACAUCAGCGGAAACAGACAC